GUUAAUGGUGGUGACUAACAGGUUUAUCAAGAUAUAUGAUCUAUCUCAGGACAACAUUAGUCCUCUGCACUACAUCACGUUACCUGAUGAUGUAAUUGUUGACGCAACACUUCUUAUGGCUUUUCCNNNNNNUGUUUCUUAUUGUUCUUUCUGAGCAAGGGAGCCUUUUCAGAUUAGAAUUGUUUGUGGAGGGUAAUGUUGGGGCCACCCCAUUGAAGGAAAUUAUUCCGAUUCAGGACACAGAAAUUAAUGCAAAGG
rnacentral:misc_RNA from 1 species